GUCACAGAGAUCUCCAAUGGCAGCAUCAGGAUUGGCUCUUAAGAUGUUGGACUCUGAAUCCAGCUUGCCUUCAUCUCCUUCACAAUGGGCUCUCACAGCUGCUGCUGAAUCUACCCCUUUUCUCACCCAAAGCAAACAGAGCAGGUCCCUCCCGCCUUCCAGAAUUCCCUGAGUGACACCCUGAGCCUACGUUAAGGAGAGGAGCAAAACUGGACAGCAGGCAGCAGCUGCAUAGUUUCCAGCAUACCCACCCCUGGACCCUGAUGGUUCAUGGAUGCAACAGGUGCUCCUUGCAGGCUCUUCGCUCUAAGGCAGUGACUGCCUUGUGGGUGAAUAUUUGCCAUUCUGAAGGAGUCAGGAGGAUUGGAGUGAUCCCGUGGCGGCCAGCACUAUCUGGACCAGCUGCUCCCUCCUCCUCUGGAGGGAGAACCCAAGUAAUGAGCUUCAGGCUCAGGCUGGGACAACCCAUUGCUGUUACCAUGGAGGCAGAGCUCAGGAAAGGUUCGGCUGGAAUUCUCUGAGCUUCUCCUCUUGUGAUCCCGGGCCAGCUGCUCUGCCUCAAAAGGCCCAUCUUCCAGGCCCAGGAGGAAGAUGCUGCUCUCGUGACCUACAAAACAGCCACUCUCCUCCCGGAAAAUCAGCCCAACUCAGCUUUGGGGAAGCGGCCAUUUUGAAGAAGUAGGGAGCUUGCUUGCUAGCUGUGGCCCCAGGCUGGACGCUUGCCAAUCCCAGGUUAGAAAGCCUUGACAGCCACCAACCAAAGACUUGGCAGGGAGGGGACCAGCCUGUUUUCCUCAAGAAACUGAAGGGAUGUCUUAGAGAGGAGAGUUCAGACUUGUUCUAUAGGCCUCAGAAGGCAGAGCUAGGAAGAGGGAAGGGGGCUGAGCUGCCAAGAGACCAGCUUGAUAUCAGAAUAAACAACAACAACCUUCCUAACCA
rnacentral:lncRNA from 1 species